CUCCUUUAUAUAUGCAAACGACAUCCCCCUCUGUUGUUCUUCCACCACUCUCGCUCCUCCUCCUCGCCUCUUCUCAUAGAGAUCAUGGGUAAAGUGAGCCGGCGGAUCAUCCUUGAUUGCUAACCCUGUGCGUCGUCAUCGUCUUCGUUCCAUCGAAACUCGUCUUUGUCCGCCAUUGAGGUUGAAUACACGAAGGUCAAGCUACAAAAAUACAUUAAAGAAGAUGGCGACAAUCUCCCGCUGAAGAAUGAAAAUGGUACCAUGAGCUGUGAUGCCCGAUUCAUCCUUGGAACCGACAAGAGGGCGAGCAUCACGACCAACUGGUCAUGGUUUCGUCAUCACGCAAACAUCUGUGAGGGUGACAUCUGUGCUUGCCACUUCAAGCGCAUGGAAGGGCGGAAACUUUCUCUCACCGUCCAUCGUAUGCAGAUGCAAUGGAGUCAACAUCUUCAAUAGUCUAUGCAUGUCUGACUAUUAUUUUUAAUUUAUCUCUAAGACUUUGUAUCUCCAUGUUGUGAUGGUACGACGAACCGUGUCUCUCUUUUGGACAUUGAUAAUCUUUGGAGAAUAUUAGGCUUCGAUUGAAAUCGAUGCCUAUGCUCUGCAUCUAAUAUGUAAGAUCAUGAUCCAACUAUUAAUAUAAAUCUAUUGUCUUA